rnacentral:rRNA from 1 species
CUACCAUGCAAGUCGAACGAAGCACUGUAAACGGAGAUUCGUCGAAGUUUACUUUGACUUAGUGGCGGACGGGUGAGUAAUGUAUGAGCAACCUGCCUUUCAGUGGGGGACAACAGUUGGAAACGACUGCUAAUACCGCAUGAUGUCAAUUGGGGGCAUCCCCGAAUGACCAAAGGAUUUAUUCGCUGAAAGAUGGGCUCAUAUCUGAUUAGCUAGUUGGUGAGGUAACGGCUCACCAAGGCUGCGAUCAGUAGCCGGACUGAGAGGUUGAACGGCCACAUUGGGACUGAGAUACGGCCCAGACUCCUACGGGAGGCAGCAGUGGGGAAUAUUGGGCAAUGGGCGAAAGCCUGACCCAGCAACGCCGCGUGAAGGAAGAAGGUCUUCGGAUUGUAAACUUCUUUUAUGAGGGACGAAGGACGUGACGGUACCUCAUGAAUAAGCCACGGCUAACUACGUGCCAGCAGCCGCGGUAAUACGUAGGUGGCAAGCGUUAUCCGGAUUUACUGGGUGUAAAGGGCGCGUAGGCGGGGAUGCAAGUCAGAUGUGAAAUCUAUGGGCUUAACCCAUAAACUGCAUUUGAAACUGUAUCUCUUGAGUGCUGGAGAGGUAGACGGAAUUCCUUGUGUAGCGGUGAAAUGCGUAGAUAUAAGGAAGAACACCAGUGGCGAAGGCGGUCUACUGGACAGUAACUGACGCUGAGGCGCGAGAGCGUGGGGAGCAAACAGGAUUAGAUACCCUGGUAGUCCACGCUGUAAACGAUGAAUACUAGGUGUGGGGGGACUGACCCCUUCCGUGCCGCAGUUAACACAAUAAGUAUUCCACCUGGGGAGUACGGCCG